rnacentral:rRNA from 1 species
GAUGAACGCUGGCGGCGUGCCUAAUACAUGCAAGUCGAGCGAACGGACGAGAAGCUUGCUUCUCUGAUGUUAGCGGCGGACGGGUGAGUAACACGUGGCUAACCUACCUAUAAGACUGGGAUAACUUCGGGAAACCGGUGCUAAUACCGGAUCAUAUUUUGAACCGCAUGGUUCAAAAGUGAAAGACGGUCUUGCUGUCACUUAUAGAUGGAUCCGCGCUCCAUUAGCUAGUUGGUAAGGUAACGGCGUACCAAGGCAACGAUGCAUCGCCGGCCUGAGAGGGUGAUCCGCCAUGCUGGAACUUAGACAAGGUCCAAACUCCUACGGGAGGCAGCAGUAGGCAAUCUUCCGCAAUAGGCGAAAGCCUGACGGAGCAACACCGCGUGAGUGAUGAAGGUCUUCGGAUCGUAAAACUCUGUUAUUAGGGAAGAGCAUAUGUGUAAGUAACUGUGCACAUCUUGAGAGUACCUAAUCAGAAAGCCACGGCUAGCUACGUG